rnacentral:rRNA from 1 species
AAUAGAUACCCGGGUAGUCCACGCCGUAAACGAUGAGUGCUAAGUGUUAGGGGGUUUCCGCCCCUUAGUGCUGCAGCUAACGCAUUAAGCACUCCGCCUGGGGAGUACGGCCGCAAGGCUGAAACUCAAAGGAAUUGACGGGGGCCCGCACAAGCGGUGGAGCAUGUGGUUUAAUUCGAAGCAACGCGAAGAACCUUACCAGGUCUUGACAUCUCCUGACCGCCCUGGAGACAGGGUCUUCCCUUCGGGGACAGGAUGACAGGUGGUGCAUGGUUGUCGUCAGCUCGUGUCGUGAGAUGUUGGGUUAAGUCCCGCAACGAGCGCAACCCUUGUCCUUAGUUGCCAGCAUUCAGUUGGGCACUCUAAGGAGACUGCCGGCUAAAAGUCGGAGGAAGGUGGGGAUGACGUCAAAUCAUCAUGCCCCUUAUGACCUGGGCUACACACGUGCUACAAUGGGCGGUACAGAGGGUCGCGAACCCGCGAGGGGGAGCCAAUCCCAAAAAGCCGCUCUCAGUUCGGAUUGGAGGCUGCAACUCG